ensembl:snRNA U1 U1 spliceosomal RNA
AAAGAAGGGAGGGAUAUAGACAACAUAGUCAUAAAGGUGAUUUUCUGAGGUGAGGCUUAUCUUAGCAUUCUUGAUAAUACUGUGCCCUGUGACCUCCCCAGAUAUGGGAAAGUCCUCUGCAUUAUUUGUGGUAGUGAGGGAAAGCGUUUGUGCUCUGUCUUA